rnacentral:rRNA from 1 species
GGUGAACCAGCGGAGGGAUCAUUACUGAGUUUACGCUCUAUAACCCUUUGUGAACAUACCUAUAACUGUUGCUUCGGCGGGUAGGGUCUCCGUGACCCUCCCGGCCUCCCGCCCCCGGGCGGGUCGGCGCCCGCCGGAGGAUAACCAAACUCUGAUUUAACGACGUUUCUUCUGAGUGGUACAAGCAAAUAAUCAAAACUUUUAACAACGGAUCUCUUGGUUCUGGCAUCGAUGAAGAACGCAGCGAAAUGCGAUAAGUAAUGUGAAUUGCAGAAUUCAGUGAAUCAUCGAAUCUUUGAACGCACAUUGCGCCCGCCAGCAUUCUGGCGGGCAUGCCUGUUCGAGCGUCAUUUCAACCCUCAAGCUCUGCUUGGUGUUGGGGCCCUACAGCUGAUGUAGGCCCUCAAAGGUAGUGGCGGACCCUCCCGGAGCCUCCUUUGCGUAGUAACUUUACGUCUCGCACUGGGAUCCGGAGGGACUCUUGCCGUAAAACCCCCAAUUUUCCAAAGGUUGACCUCGGAUCAGGUAGGAAUACCCGCUGAACUUAAGCAUAU